rnacentral:tRNA from 1 species
GCCCAGCUAGCUCAGUCACUAGAACAUGAGACUCUUAAUCUCAGGGUUGUGGGUUUGUUCCUCACGUUGGGCA